rnacentral:rRNA from 1 species
AAACUAGGAUUAGAUACCCUAUUAUAGAAAUUAAAAUAUAAAUUAAUAAUUAAAUGUAAAUCAUUAAAAUUAAAUAAUUUGGCGGCUUAAAAAUUUAAUUAGGGAAACUUGUUUAUUAAUUUGAUAAUCCACGUUAAGAAAAACUUAAAUUGAAUUUAUGUAUUGUUGUUUAAAAAUUUUAUAUAAAUAUUUAAAUUUAAAUAUUUAAUUAAAUAAUAAUUCAAAUCAAAAUGUAGUAUAUUUAAGAUAAAAUGAGUUACAAAAAAAUUAAUUUUUGAAUAAUUAUUUUUAAGAUUAAUUUGAAAUAGAAUUUGAUAGUAAAUUUAAUUAAUUAAUUAAAUUGAAAUUAAAAUUUUAAGUGUACAAAUUGCCCGUCAAUUUCAUUAUAAGUGGAGUAAGUCGUAACAGAGUAAGUGUACUGGAAAGUGUUCUUA